GCUCCCGAAGGAACCCUGCUUUGCUUGGAGGGGAGGAAAUGAACUGACGGGCGCUGGCUGCUGGCGUUCGAGCACCGGCUGUGGCUCAGUCGAAAAGGGCGCGGUUCUUGCCAGUUCACCUCCUCCAAAGCAGGUGACAAAAAACAAAAAUCAACCAGCUGAUGGAGGGACACUGAUACCUACACAACAACCAUGAACAAUACUAGACAGACACACACUACCAUGUUGACACCACUUAGCAUUCAGCUGGUGUCAGGACGCACCCUCCCCACCAUGGUGCCCUCUUGCGUCAUAAUCUAUGAGGACACCCCAAAUACACCUGUUUGUCCUGGACCGGAAUAUGGGUCAUCGAGUCUUCCUCGGAUCUGGCCUAUGGAUGGCUAUUAAUGUUGAAGCUGGUUUCGUCUAGCUUCGGUGCUUGCCUUGGAGCGUCGUCAACCCUGCUUGCCGUUUACCCUAUUUCCUGUCCGUCCGUCUGAUAAUGGAUUUACUGGGGUCGUGCCUCUACAGAGCGGACAUCAAUGUGGGAGCAAUGGCUCAGUAUGUGGUCCAGUAUCUGUCUGUCCGUCCGUGCACGUCAAUCGUAUUGUCUUGUUUCAAGUAUGGAAAUGGGAUUCGAAAGUGGGUACCUUGGGCGUUGUCGGCUGACCAACGCCGUGUUGCUAUCGCCUGACUGGCUGAUAUUCCAACGUUGGGACAGUGGAGGUGGAGUUUAUGUCUGGGUUAAUCUUUCCCCCCUUUUUAUUUUCAGGGAUUACUUUCUUUUCAGGUUUUCAACGUUUCUUUGCAGGUUUUCUUUUGCAAUUUAAAACAAUUUUUAAUAAUUUUUAGUUAUUUCAUUUUUCUCACGAAUUUCAGAGUUUUUCAAUACUUUUUCUCAAUAUUUCCUUUUCAGAUUUUUAAAUCUUUUUGUUUCAGGUUUUAAAUGUCUUCUUUUUCUUCUCUUAAUGUUCGUUCAAUUUGCCUUUAGAUUUACAAAAUUUUUUUAAUUAUUAGAUUUCUUUCAUUUCAGUUUCUUUUAUUUCAAAUUCACAAUCAUUUAACAAUUUCCUUGUAGAUUUAGCUGUCUUUGUUUGUAGAUUAUUGCCAUUCUAUUUAGCUUUAAGUUCAUUACAUUUUACUUUGCUUGUUUGGUAGCCCAGGCAAGAUUAUUAAAUAAAAAAACACUAUUUCACCGCGGUUUCUCUGUCUUUUUAUUUUUUUUAUUCUUGGGCUUUCACUCCACCUCCGGUAGCUUCGCUGUCCAAAUCCAAAAAGAACGCUUCAUCUUGGGGACUCUAGCCAGCUUGGCUUUGGUUGGUCUCCAUCAUGAAGUUGGUCUUCCAGCCGGCACCAACAAAACAUAUGGGGGCAGCCAUAAUAACAGGUUGGUGUCAGCUGGUUGUCUCCCUCUCCUUGAUGAGGGCCAACCAUAGCCAGUAGGUGUCGCUGGAGUAAGGCAAGUCACAACCAGGUGGCGCUGUAGUGCCAUUAUUCGGCGCACACCACAAACCCCACCAUC